rnacentral:rRNA from 1 species
GACGAACGCUGGCGGCGUGCUUAACACAUGCAAGUCGAACGGAAAGGCCCUGCUUUUGUGGGGUGCUCGAGUGGCGAACGGGUGAGUAACACGUGAGUAACCUGCCCUUGACUUUGAGAUAACUUCAGGAAACUGGGGCUAAUACCGGAUAGGAGCUCCUGCUGCAUGGUGGGGGUUGGAAAGUUUCGGCGGUUGGGGAUGGACUCGCGGCUUAUCAGCUUGUUGGUGGGGUAGUGGCUUACCAAGGCUUUGACGGGUAGCCGGCCUGAGAGGGUGACCGGCCACAUUGGGACUGAGAUACGGCCCAGACUCCUACGGGAGGCAGCAGUGGGGAAUAUUGCACAAUGGGCGGAAGCCUGAUGCAGCAACGCCGCGUGCGGGAUGACGGCCUUCGGGUUGUAAACCGCUUUCGCCUGUGACGAAGCGUGAGUGACGGUAAUGGGUAAAGAAGCACCGGCUAACUACGUGC